UCGAGAAUUUUUCUCAAUGGGGGAAACCCUGAAGGAGCGACGCCGCGUGGAGGAUGAAGGUCUUCGGGUUGUAAACUCCUGUCAUUUGGGAACAAGGCGCAUCUAUUAACUGUAGGUGUGUUGAUAGUACCAGAAGAGGAAGAGACGGCUAACUCUGUGCCAGCAGCCGCGGUAAUACAGAGGUCUCAAGCGUUGUUCGGAUUCAUUGGGCGUAAAGGGUGUGUAGGCGGCGCGGUAAGUCGGGUGUGAAAUUUCGGAGCUUAACUCCGAAACUGCAUUCGAUACUGCCGUGCUUGAGGACUGGAGAGGAGACUGGAAUUUACGGUGUAGCAGUGAAAUGCGUAGAUAUCGUAAGGAAGACCAGUGGCGAAGGCGGGUCUCUGGACAGUUCCUGACGCUGAGACACGAAGGCCAGGGGAGCAAACGG
rnacentral:rRNA from 1 species